UACGAAGGGGGCUAGCGUUGCUCGGAAUUACUGGGCGUAAAGCGCACGUAGGCGGAUCUUUAAGUCAGGGGUGAAAUCCUGGAGCUCAACUCCAGAACUGCCUUUGAUACUGAGGGUCUUGAGUUCGGGAGAGGUGAGUGGAACUGCGAGUGUAGAGGUGAAAUUCGUAGAUAUUCGCAAGAACACCAGUGGCGAAGGCGGCUCACUGGACAACACCUGACACUGAGGCACGAAAGCCGGGGGAGCAAACAGG
rnacentral:rRNA from 1 species